rnacentral:rRNA from 1 species
ACGGGGCGCAGCAGGCGCGAAACCUUUACAAUGCACGAAAGUGUGAUAAGGGAAUUCUACGUGCAAGUUUUACUUGCUUUUCUCAAGUUCAAAUCGCUUGGGGAAUAAGAGCUGGGCAAGACCCGUGCCAGCCGCCGCGGUAACACGGGCAGCUCGAGUGGCGUUCGCGAAUAUUGGGCCUAAAGCGUACGUAGCCUGUUAGAUAAGUUCUUGGUGAAAGCUUGCGACUUAAUCGUGAGAGUUGCCAGGAAAACUGUUUGACUUGGGACCGGAAGAGGUCGGAGGUAUUCUCGGGGUAGGGGUAAAAUCCUGUAAUCCUGAGAGGACCAUCGGUGGCGAAGGCGUCCGACUGGGACGGGUCCGACGGUGAGGUACGAAAGCUAGGGGAGCGACCCGGAUUAGAUACCCGGUUAGUCCUAGCCGUAAAUGAUGUCUGUUUGGUAUUGCACUCCUUACGAGGGAUUGCAGUGCCGUAGGGAAGCCGUUAAACAGACCGCCUGGGAGUACGCCGCAAG